AACGAACGCUGGCGGCAGGCCUAACACAUGCAAGUCGAGCGAGCAUUUCGGUGCUAGCGGCGGACGGGUGAGUAACGCGUGGGAACGUGCCCUUUUCUGCGGAAUAGUCCUGGGAAACUGGGGGUAAUACCGCAUACGCCCUUUUGGGGAAAGAUUUAUCGGAGAAGGAUCGGCCCGCGUUGGAUUAGGUAGUUGGUGGGGUAAUGGCCCACCAAGCCGACGAUCCAUAGCUGGUUUGAGAGGAUGAUCAGCCACACUGAGACUGGGACACGGCCCAGACUCCUACGGGAGGCAGCAGUGGGGAAUCUUAGACAAUGGGGGCAACCCUGAUCUAGCCAUGCCGCGUGAGUGAUGAAGGCCUUAGGGUUGUAAAGCUCUUUCAGCUGGGAAGAUAAUGACGGUACCAGCAGAAGAAGCCCCGGCUAACUCCGUG
rnacentral:rRNA from 1 species